rnacentral:rRNA from 1 species
AGCGAACGCUGGCGGCAUGCUUAACACAUGCAAGUCGCACGGUCGGGUUUCGGCCCGGCAGUGGCGGACGGGUGAGUAACGCGUAGGUAUCUAUCCUUGGGAUGGGGGACGAACCGUCGGGAAACGUAACGGCUAAUACCGCAUGACGACCGAGGUCCAAAGGCCGCGAGGCCGUCUGGGGAGGAGCCUGCGUCCGAUUAGCGUAGUUGGGUGGGGUAACGGCCUACCAAGGCGGUGAUCGGUAGCUGGUC